CGGGACACGUGGUAUCCUGUCUGAAUAUGGGGGGACCAUCCUCCAAGGCUAAAUACUCCUGACUGACCGAUAGUGAACCAGUACCGUGAGGGAAAGGCGAAAAGAACCCCGGCGAGGGGAGUGAAAAAGAACCUGAAACCGUGUACGUACAAGCAGUGGGAGCCUCUUAAUGGGGUGACUGCGUACCUUUUGUAUAAUGGGUCAGCGACUUAUAUUCUGUAGCAAGGUUAACCGAAUAGGGGAGCCGAAGGGAAACCGAGUCUUAACUGGGCGUUAAGUUGCAGGGUAUAGACCCGAAACCCGGUGAUCUAGCCAUGGGCAGGUUGAAGGUUGGGUAACACUAACUGGAGGACCGAACCGACUAAUGUUGAAAAAUUAGCGGAUGACUUGUGGCUGGGGGUGAAAGGCCAAUCAAACCGGGAGAUAGCUGGUUCUCCCCGAAAGCUAUUUAGGUAGCGCCUCGUGAAUUCAUCUCCGGGGGUAGAGCACUGUUUCGGCAAGGGGGUCAUCCCGACUUACCAACCCGAUGCAAACUGCGAAUACCGGAGAAUGUUAUCACGGGAGACACACGGCGGGUGCUAACGUCCGUCGUGAAGAGGGAAACAACCCAGACCGCCAGCUAAGGUCCCAAAGUCAUGGUUAAGUGGGAAACGAUGUGGGAAGGCCCAGACAGCCAGGAUGUUGGCUUAGAAGCAGCCAUCAUUUAAAGAAAGCGUAAUAGCUCACUGGUCGAGUCGGCCUGCGCGGAAGAUGUAACGGGGCUAAACCAUGCACCGAAGCUGCGGCAGCGACACUAUGUGUUGUUGGGUAGGGGAGCGUUCUGUAAGCCUG
rnacentral:rRNA from 1 species